GUCCACGCCGUAAACGAUGGGUGCUAGGUGUGGGGGUGUCGACUCCCUCCGUGCCGAAGCUAACGCAUUAAGCACCCCGCCUGGGGAGUACGGCCGCAAGGCUAAAACUCAAAGGAAUUGACGGGGCCCGCACAAGCAGCGGAGCAUGUGGUUUAAUUCGACGCGACGCGAAGAACCUUACCAAGGCUUGACAUGCACGGGAAUGUCGGAGAAAUUCGGCAGCCCUUCGGGGCUCGUGCACAGGUGGUGCAUGGCUGUCGU
rnacentral:rRNA from 1 species